rnacentral:rRNA from 1 species
UACAGAGGGUGCAAACGUUGUUCGGAUUUACUGGGCGUAAAGCGCGUGUAGGCGGCUUGGCAAGUCGGAUGUGAAAGCCCACGGCUCAACCGUGGAAGCGCAUCCGAUACUGCUUCGCUCGAGUCUCGGAGAGGAAGGUGGAAUGCUUGGUGUAGAGGUGAAAUUCGUAGAUAUCAAGCAGAACACCUGCGGCGAAGGCGGCCUUCUGGACGAUGACUGACGCUGAGACGCGAAAGCGUGGGGAGCAAACAGG